rnacentral:lncRNA from 1 species
CUCUUACUAGCGUUUUGUAGUCAUAAGUUAUUUUCGAUGAUAAAGCUUCCGAAUUGAUGAUCCACUCCGUUAAAUAUGAUCUAGAGUAUUUGAAACUUCUAAAAAAUAAAUUUUGUAAUUUUUCGAAAUCAUAAUAAUGUCCAUUAAGCGGGAAUAAAAUGAACGGUCAAAAUCGAACGACAUCCUUAAAAUAGAUGAUCGGAUCCUUCAAUUUAAGAUCGGAGUUAUUGAUCUUUAUUUAGAUAGUAAAUAGAAUUUUCUAUUAAAAAUUCAACCGAUUCCGAUUCUUUUACACUGUUAAACUAGCAAGUAUCUCAUACCGAUUGUUAAAAAUUAUCAAUUUUCAGAUUUUUUGAUCACAAGGUAAAUGAUGUCAAAAAAUUAUAAAAUUUGAUUUCUAAAAGUUUUAAAUGCUGUAAAUAAUGUUUAACGGUAUAAAUCAUCAAUUUAAUUGGCAGUUCUAUCAUCAAAACGACUUAUGAGUACGAAGACGAUCGUACUCAUAAGAAUAUAGUAGCCGGGCUCUCUCUCUCUCUCUCUCUCUCUAUAUAUAUAUAUAUAUAUAUAUAUAUAUAUAUUACUGCAACAAAAUAGGUUUAAGAAGAUACCUUUUAAAUGACGCUUCAUUCUAGCGUAUUCAACAUUUGGCAUAUGCUGACAUCAUGAUUAAACGUCGCCAAGAAACAUGUUUUUAAAAAAUACUUAUAAGAACUUUUCGACGCUAUAUUAAAGCGUCGGUAUAUUUAUUCCGAUAUAUUUAUUUAAUGAUUCUUUACUCGAUACUCUUACAAGCGUCGGGAUUAUUCUUAUCGAUGCUUUAAAGCGUCGCUAGUUAUUAUUUAAAGUACCCAAGUGUAAGAUUUAUUGCAGUGUAUACUCCGGCUGGUAUACUAUCGGGCACAGAGGCUUCUGUACUAUCAAGUUAUUUUCAAUGAUACAAUUUUUCAAUCGACAAUCGACUCUAUUAGGCUUGAUCUACACUAUUGAAAGUAUUUGAUAAGUAAUUUCAUAAUUUUUCAAUACUAUUUACUUAUCAAAUUGAGUAGUCUAAAGAUGAACGACUGAAACUAAAAAUCUCAUAAAAAAUAAUAAUAAAAAAGUUGAAUUAAAAAUCAGAGAUACCUAUCUUAUUCUAAAUAGUAAAAAAAAUUUAAGAAUUCGAGGACUAAAUAAAAUUUAACUAACCAUGCACCUAAAGUGAAUUUUCUUAAAAAGGUGUGGGAAAGGCUUAGAAACACGUUGUAUUUAAAGUUCCCACGUGGACAACUAAGACGUACCUUUAUUUUUACUAGUGUAGGCCCGCGCUUCGCGGCUGAAAAUUUAUGUAAUUUAUUUAAAAUUUAAACUUUCUAACUCCCUUUCAUUGAAAUUCUAAAAUUUGAACUCAACAAUUUAAAAUUUUAAAUUUAAAAAAAUAUAUUUUAUCUUAAUUCAGUUUGUAUAGUUUGAAUAUAUGAUUUUAUAUAGAGUUUAAUAUGAGAGGAAAAAAAAAAAAAAAGGUAAAAAAGGAAAAAACUUCCCUCUCUCCCCGGGACCCCCACGCGCCUACGCGCCCUUUCCUGCGCGAGCUCGCUCGGGCCAACCCUAAGCGAGUGCCCGCGCUGGCUCGCGUCCGCGCCGACUCGUGCCGCAGUUUAAUCUAAUUCAAUAGCGCCAUAAACCGGCUCUAAAAUAUUCAUAAAAAAAUAUUUAAAUAUUUCACAACACUAAUUAUAAAAAAUUUUAUCAAUCAUUUAACAUACUCUGUGGGUAUGAAACAAUAAUAUAUACCAGGUGUAAGCAAAGACUUAUCCUCUCUAGAGUCGACCAAUCAUAUUUUGAAUAUUUCACAAAUUAUAGAUAUAAAAUUGAUCACUUAUUAGAUUGUAUAAAAUCGUAUAAAAGUUUUCUAAACGAUAAAUAAUUUUUAAUCAUCUAUUCAAAAUUUUAAAAUUUUAUUUUUACUAUCCAACCAGUUUAUAUGUUAGCUUUUAAAAUUCACGUAUACAAAAUUACAUAUUUAAAAUUUUUUAUAAUAAAAAAUAUUAAAUUAGAUAAGAACAAAAACUCAUUCUCUAUUAAAAAAAAUUACAAUAAAAACAAUCUCCCGCACCC